AUUUGUUUGCAGUUCAUAAGCAUGAUGAUUGGGUUUCACACUGUUGUGAGAUGUGCUUUCCUCAAACCUCAUUACAACAUCAACCAUUACCCCAUCUGACG
rfam:Ictidomys tridecemlineatus contig012288, whole genome shotgun sequence.